GGGAUCAGCCUCUUGAGGAAAGGUCAUAAAUGGAGGACCUCUGGAUCCUGUGCCUCCUGUAGAGCCCAGACACUGCUUGUCGAACAAAGAAUGCAGAGGACCGUAGAGAGCAGUCUACAGCCUGAGACCCAUCAUUAUGGCCUGGCACAUGAUGAUUACACAGUCUUUUAAAUUUAAAAAAAUGAAGAUGUUGAAUGGCACAGAUGAAUUCUCUUCAAUUCUCUGACAUUAUUUCUCAGAAAGAAACCAAGAUGAAGACUGGAGCUCAGAUUGCCUAAGUCUUGGAGAGACCACUGGAGAAAAUGGCUGGUAUAGAGAGAAUUUUUCCCACUAAUGGAAAUGAAUGCACAUGCAUCUUAUAACUGACAACAGAGUACUUCAACUCCCACCAUAGCCCAGAAUAUUGUUUUCUUAAUAUUAUUUUCUUGGUCGUUGAAGAGGAUGCAGCUACCUUUGCGUCUCAACAGUUCUAUAAAGGAUGCUGGUUUACUGAGGGGAAGUGCCUUAAAAGUUGGCUUAAAGGCAUCUGCUGACUCUGACCUCAUUUUGCCCAGGAGUUGGGGGAGGGAGGAAGCAACAGGCUCUGAAACAGUGGCCACAGCUAUAAAAAUCAACAGAUAAAGUCUUUACUGUGUCUAGUCCAGAAGGUUUGCUGAUUCAUGUCAUUUACCCUCAUACAAACACCACAAUUUUUAAAAAUGAAAUAAAAUAGUAGAUACCUGCUCCCAAACAUUUUC
rnacentral:lncRNA from 1 species